rnacentral:rRNA from 1 species
UCCGUAGGGGGCAAGCGUUGUCCGGAAUUAUUGGGCGUAAAGAGCGUGUAGGCGGCCAGAUAAGUCCGCUGUGAAAUCUCGAGGCUCAACUUCGAGCUGUCGGUGGAAACUAUCUGGCUAGAGUCCGGAAGAGGAGAAUGGAAUUCCUGGUGUAGCGGUGAAAUGCGCAGAUAUCAGGAAGAACACCCGUGGCGAAGGCGGUUCUCUGGGACGGUACUGACGCUGAGACGCGAAAGCGUGGGGAGCGAACAGG